rnacentral:misc_RNA from 1 species
GAAAUGCGAUAAGUAGUGUGACUUGCAGAAUUCAGUGAAUCAUCGAAUCUUUGAACGCACAUUGCGCCCCUUGGUAUUCCAUGGGGCAUGCCUGUUCGAGCGUCAUUUGUACCCUCAAGCUCUGCUUGGUGUUGGGUGUUUGUCCCGUCUCCGCGCGUGGACUCGCCCCAAAGUGAUUGGCAGCCGGCGUACUGGUCCCGGAGCGCAGCACAUGUCGCGCAAACGAGUGCCUUGGUACGGCGGCGUCCAUAAGCCCCUCUCUCACGCUCUUGACCUCGGAUCAGGUAGGGAUACCCGCUGAACUUAAGC